UUGUUGAAGAGAAGAGCAGAUGGAAUGUUGUCAACAAGCCAAGUUUCCGUGAGGGCAAUGAGGUCGAAGUCAGCCUCCGAUACAGCUAGGUGAAAUUCUUUUGUUUUAGUACGCAAACCUCUAGCGUUUUGAUAAUAGCAGCUUAAAUACUUAGCGGUAGCGUUGUCAUUGUGGCGGUUGGAUAAAGCGGGUAUACGCCUAAAGACCUAACGUGGUCAUGCCUACCUAUGCAGGUUUUUGAGGUUUUUUUUUUGUUGAUCGAUAUCGAGACCACGCAGCCGGAUAGUCAUUCAUUGCAACGGGGGACGGUCCAUUAUAGACAUGAAGCCACGAGCGGAAUUUGGAGCAAAUGUGCUAUCUUAAGCAUUAGGCCUAAAGACCUAACGUGGUCAUGCCUACCUAUGCAGGUUUUUGAGGUUUUUUUUUGUUGAUCGAUAUCGAGACCACGCAGCCGGAUAGUCAUUCAUUGCAACGGGGGACGGUCCAUUAUAGACAUGAAGCCACGAGCGGAAUUUGGAGCAAAUGUGCUAUCUUAAGCAUUAGGGUAAGUGUACCAAUAGUGGUGCAAUUUGUAGUAACACAGAUGUGUUUUAAUGGAUUUACAUUGUCAGGAAGGUCAAUUUGUGAUUAUUUUAACACAUAGCAAUUAGAAUAUGUUUUAUCUUCGCAAUCACAACCAUGUUUACCAUGAAACACAUCAAAUUUACGAAAAAAUACAUAUUUUUGUG